rnacentral:rRNA from 1 species
CCAAGGCUAAAUACUCCUGACUGACCGAUAGUGAACCAGUACCGUGAGGGAAAGGCGAAAAGAACCCCGGCGAGGGGAGUGAAAAAGAACCUGAAACCGUGUACGUACAAGCAGUGGGAGCACGCUUCGGCGUGUGACUGCGUACCUUUUGUAUAAUGGGUCAGCGACUUAUAUUCUGUAGCAAGGUUAACCGAAUAGGGGAGCCGAAGGGAAACCGAGUCUUAACUGGGCGUUAAGUUGCAGGGUAUAGACCCGAAAC